rnacentral:misc_RNA from 1 species
GUUUGUUUUUUGAUUGAGCACAUGCACAAUUAUUUUAUUUAUGUCGCUUACUUUUCCUAUUAAGCUGUGCCAGUUACUUCGAAUAUUUUACGGAUCACAUAAAGGAUACGCUAACAGUAUUUCGAUUAUGAUAAAGUAUAUUUAAAAUUACGUACAUUUUUGUUUUGGAUAGCGUAAAAUUCUCCGUUUAUAUAUAAAAAGCGGAAAGUAUAAUACUCUGCUAUACAAAAACUAGAGACACGUGCCUCAGCCACGAUCCAACAUGUAUAAGUUCCUGAUAGUAGUCAUGGUUAUCACCUUGGUGUCAGCUGUGCUACCCUGCCCUCCAAAUAAUCAACCGCAGCUAACAUUGAAAGGAGUGACCUGCAUAGAGUGUGACGCAGCCAAGCAAAACUGCAGGGAUUAUUAUACAAGUUCUCCCUCCUAUAACAUAUUAUACUUACACUAGUCAACUUUUAUAUAAAUGUAGUUAUUGCUUAUUCACUUUUGUUAACCUAAAAUUGUUUUGGAGCAAUUCUAAUAUAUAAACAAAAAUAAUGAUUUAAAUUUCAAGUACAUGUAAUAAUAAUACAUACAAAGUGGAUUUUACUUCAUUCAUUCGUUUUGAUCCUGUCUAAAUAACUUCAAAAAGUACAAUAAAGUUACUAAAUUUAAGUUUUCGUUUUAAUAUCACAAAAUAAUCAAAUAAGGAAC